rnacentral:tRNA from 1 species
AAGAAGUUAGUUUUAACAAAAAACAAUUAUUUGUCAAAUAAAAAUUGCAUUUUAAUGCACCUCUUA